GACGAACGCUGGCGGCGUGCUUAACACAUGCAAGUCGAACGGAAAGGCCCUGCUUUUGUGGGGUGCUCGAGUGGCGAACGGGUGAGUAACACGUGAGUAACCUGCCCUUGACUUUGGGAUAACUUCAAGAAACUGGGGCUAAUACCGGAUAGGAGCUCCUGCUGCAUGGUGGGGGUUGGAAAGUUUCGGCGGUUGGGGAUGGACUCGCGGCUUAUCAGCUUGUUGGUGGGGUAGUGGCUUACCAAGGCUUUGACGGGUAGCCGGCCUGAGAGGGUGACCGGCCACAUUGGGACUGAGAUACGGCCCAGACUCCUACGGGAGGCAGCAGCGGGGAAUAUUGCACAAUGGGCGGAAGCCUGAUGCAGCAACGCCGCGUGCGGGAUGACGGCCUUCGGGUUGUAAACCGCUUUCGCCUGUGACGAAGCGUGAGUGACGGUAAUGGGUAAAGAAGCACCGGCUAACUACGUG
rnacentral:rRNA from 1 species